AGAGUUUGAUCCUGGCUCAGAACGAACGCUGGCGGCGUGCUUAACACAUGCAAGUCGUACGAGAAAUCCCGGGCAACUGGGAGAGUAAAGUGGCGCACGGGUGAGUAACGCGUGGGUAACCUACCCUUGAAUUGGGGAUAACUCCGCGAAAGCGGGGCUAAUACCGAAUAAUAUUUUGAGGUCUCCGGACCUUAAAAUCAAAGAUGGCCUCUGCAUGCAAGCUAUCGUUUAAGGAUGGGCCCGCGUACCAUUAGCUUGUUGGUAGGGUAAUGGCCUACCAAGGCAACGAUGGUUAGCUGGUCUAAGAGGAUGGCCAGCCACACUGGAACUGAGAUACGGUCCAGACUCCUACGGGAGGCAGCAGUGGGGAAUCUUGCGCAAUGGGGGAAACCCUGACGCAGCAACGCCGCGUGGGUGAUGAAGGCCUUCGGGUCGUAAAGCCCUGUCAGGUGGGAAGAACCUCGUCGGUGCCAAUAUCACCGACGCUUGACGGUACCACCGGAGGAAGCACCGGCUAACUCCGUGCCAGCAGCCGCGGUAAUACGGAGGGUGCAAGCGUUGUUCGGAAUUAUUGGGCGUAAAGCGCGUGUAGGUGGUCGGGUAAGUCAGAUGUGAAAGCCCCCGGCUUAACUGGGGAAGUGCAUUUGAGACUGCUCGGCUGGAGUUCGGAAGAGGAGAGUGGAAUUCCCGGUGUAGAGGUGAAAUUCGUAGAUAUCGGAAGGAACACCGGUGGCGAAGGCGGCUCUCUGGUCCGAUACUGACGCUGAGACGCGAAAGCGUGGGGAGCAAACAGGAUUAGA
rnacentral:rRNA from 1 species